AUUGAACGCUGGCGGAAUGCUUUACACAUGCAAGUCGAACGGCAGCACGGGGCAACCUGGUGGCGAGUGGCGAACGGGUGAGUAAAGCAUCGGAACGUACCGUGUAGUGGGGGAUAACGUAGCGAAAGUUACGCUAAUACCGCAUACGCACUGAGGUGGAAAGCAGGGGAUCGCAAGACCUUGCGCUAUACGAGCGGCCGAUGUCAGAUUAGGUUGUUGGUGGGGUAAAGGCCUACCAAGCCGACGAUCUGUAGCUGGUCUGAGAGGACGACCAGCCACACUGGGACUGAGACACGGCCCAGACACCUACGGGUGGCAG
rnacentral:rRNA from 1 species